UUAUAGGUCGUCUUUUGUUUGGAGGCUACAAUGACUACACAGUAAAUAUAUGGGAUGUCUUAAAAGGAAACAGGGUGUCAAUUUUAUAUGCACAUGAAAACAGAGUAAGCUGUCUUGGUGUGUCUCCAGAUGGCACUGCUCUCUGUACAGGAAGUUGGGACUAUACUCUGAAGGUACAAAUAUAAAUAGAUAUAGUCUUUAAAAAAAAAAAGUGUCAAAGUUUCUGUAGGCCAAAUUAUGUUUUAAGAAUUACACAGAAUUCAUUGUUGUAUCUAUCACAGAGAAACAAAUAAACAUUAGGAACUGUUUAUGGACCCAGAUUCCAAAAUGUCAAGGUUAUCCAUGGAAGGAAAAAAGGAAACCUAUAACCACAAAAUAGCUGUUUUACUUGUUUCCUAAGUUAUCAUUGGAAUUUCUAAUAGCAAAACAGAUUUUUUGGUAUGAUUAUGAAGGAGGGGAAAUAUUUCAACUACCAUAGAACUGUAUAAGACCACAUGACAUAAAUCAACCUACGAAACUUGUUAAAUCUAAAACAAAUUUCACAAACUGCUACAAUAACGGAAUAUUCAAUAGAUUUUCUUAAGUAAGAUAGAGUUUUCAAUGCAGUUAAUAGAUUUCAUAAAACUUAUAUUGAAUCUUCAUUAUAAAACAUCAUAAAUCAGAUCGCAAUGUAUUAUAAAAUUGAGAAUGGAAAUGGGGAAUGUGUCAAAGAGACAACAACCCGACCAAAUAAAAAACAACAGCAGAGGGUCACCAAAGGUCUUCAAUGUAGCGAGAAAUUCCCGCACCCGGAGGCGUCUAUUAUAGUUUAUAUCAAAUUGUUCAUUACAGAUAUGGGCCUAGACCAUCCAUAUUAACCACCAGAUGUUCAAGAUUUAGAAACAAAGAAUCUCUGAAUACAAGACCAAGAAUAUAAUUUAGUACUUUUUUAAAGUAUAAAUCCAACACGAACAAAUUGUUUU
rnacentral:lncRNA from 1 species